rnacentral:lncRNA from 1 species
UAUUAAACUGGUGCAAAAGUAAGUGCAGCAAAAACCAGUUACUUUUGCAUCAAUCUAAUAUUAUUUUGCUACUUGUUCUCCAUUUGUUUAUUCAGUUUUUUUGCUUCUUUGUUGCUCCUUGUCUGCCUUCUUUUGGGGUUAACCAUUUUUUUUGAAGUAGAGUCUCUCUCUGUCACCCAGAUUGAAGUGCAGUGGCAUGAUUUCAGCUCACUGCAACCUCUACCUCCUGGGUUCAAGCAAUUCUCCUGGCUCAGCCUCCCAAGUAGCACAUGCCACUAUGCCUGGCUAAUUUUCUUUUUUAGUAGAGAUGGCAUUUCACCAUGUUGUCUAGGCUGGUCUUGAAUGCCUGACCUCAAUUGAUCCACCUGGCUCAGCCUCCCAAAGUGCUGGGAUUGCAGGCUCUGAGCCACCAUGCCCGACCACCAAAUAUUUUUUGAUAUUCCAUUUUGUUUUCUCUGUUUGUUUCUUUUCUUUUUUUUGGAGAUGGAGUCUCACCCUGUGUGCAUUGGCACGAUUUUGGCUCAUUGCAACUUCCACCUCCCAGGAUUAAACGUUUCUCAUGCCUCAACCUCCUGAGUAGCUGGGACUACAGGCAUGUGCCACCAUGACUGGCUAAAUUUUAUGUGUAUCUAUUUCGUAGAGAUGGGGUUUCACCAUGUUGGCCAGGCUAGUCUUGAACUCCUGACUGCAAAUGAUCCACCCUCCUCUGCCUCCCAAAGUGCUAGGAUUACAGGUGUAAGGCAUCACACUCAGCCUAUUUCCUCUAUUUUCUUUUCUUUCUUUCCUUUUUUUUUUUUUUUUUUUUUUUUGAGACAGGGUCUCACUGUGUUGCCCAGGCUGGCCUGAAACUCCCGGCCUCAAGCAGUCCUCCCUCUUCAGCUUUCUGAGUAGUGUGGACUCCAGGCAUGAGCCACCUUGCCUGGUGUUGGCUCCUUUCUUACAUUCAAAUUUUUGCUCACAAGUUAUCUUUUCAGAGCUGUCUUCCCUGAGCACCCUGUCGAAAGUAGCCUCCAACUUGUUAACUGUAACGUCAUUCUAUUUUAAUUCUAUGCAUAUGACUUAUCAUACUGCAUGAUUUUUGAUAAUUUAUACACUUGCUUGUCUAUCAUCUGCUUCUCCCACCAGUAUAAAAUCUGUGUGAG